GGGGAUGUAGCUCAGUGGCAGAGCACUUGCCUGGCAUGGAUGAGGUCCUGAGUUCAAUCCUUAGCACUGCCA
rnacentral:tRNA from 1 species